UGGGGAAUAUUGCACAAUGGGCGAAAGCCUGAUGCAGCAACGCCGCGUGAGGGAUGACGGCCUUCGGGUUGUAAACCUCUUUUAGUAGGGAAGAAGCGAAAGUGACGGUACCUGCAGAAAAAGCACCGGCUAACUACGUGCCAGCAGCCGCGGUAAUACGUAGGGUGCAAGCGUUGUCCGGAAUUAUUGGGCGUAAAGAGCUCGUAGGCGGUUUGUCGCGUCUGCUGUGAAAUCCCGAGGCUCAACCUCGGGUCUGCAGUGGGUACGGGCAGACUAGAGUGUGGUAGGGGAGAUUGGAAUUCCUGGUGUAGCGGUGGAAUGCGCAGAUAUCAGGAGGAACACCGAUGGCGAAGGCAGAUCUCUGGGCCAUUACUGACGCUGAGGAGCGAAAGCAUGGGGAGCAAACA
rnacentral:rRNA from 1 species